CCUCCUCGGCCAGGGCACGGAGAUGCAGAAGCCAGUCCUCGGCCUGCUCCAGGGCAGUGGAGAGCUCACUAUGGCCAAGCUUCAAGGCCAGAGCAGCUUCUUUGAUCUGGCUCAGGUGACGGGUGCGUAGCCGGAGCAGGUACUGAUCAAGGCUCCAGCACCUCUGGGCUCAGCACCGGCCAGACUGCUGGCCAAGCGUGGCUGGGAGACGUGCUUCUGCUCACCACCACACACGAACACUCCUGAGGAGACAGCCUUGGCUGAGCCAGGAGAGGCAUCUGAAGGUGCCAAGGACCCCCUACCUGCAGUCUGCAAGGAGCUCAUCUGUCAACUGAGCCACCAGGGCGUCCACAUCCUCGGAGGAACACUGUGCCUUCAGAGCCAAGUGGACCUGCUCCAGGGCAAGGUCCUGGGCUGGAAGGCCAACUCCAAAAUACCUGUCAGCCCAAAGCUGCCUCAGUCUCCUAAGUAGCCCUCUCCACACGUCAGGGCAUGUGAUAUGUGUUCCACCCUGGGGGACAAACCCUAGGAAGAAGACUCAGCUCCUGCUGUCGGGGAACUGUGGUCUUCUGGUAGAAUAAUGAGGAGUCCAGAGGACAGCAGGACAGUGACUCUGCAGUC
rnacentral:lncRNA from 1 species